AACGAACGCUGGCGGCAGGCUUAACACAUGCAAGUCGAACGCAUGCCUUCGGGCAUGAGUGGCAGACGGGUGAGUAACGCGUGGGAACCUACCCCUUGGUACGGGAUAGCUCCGGGAAACUGGAGAUAAUACCGUAUGUGUCCUGAGGGACAAAGAUUCAUCGCCAAGGGAUGGGCCCGCGUCGGAUUAGCUAGUUGGGGGGGUAACGGCCUACCAAGGCGACGAUCCGUAGCUGGUCUAAGAGGAUGAUCAGCCACAUCGGGACUGAGACACGGCCCAAACUCCUACGGGAGGCAGCAGUGGGGAAUAUUGGACAAUGGGCGCAAGCCUGAUCCAGCCAUGCCGCGUGAGUGAUGAAGGCCCUAGGGUUGUAAAGCUCUUUCACCGGUGACGAUAAUGACGGUAACCGGAGAAGAAGCCCCGGCUAACUUCGUG
rnacentral:rRNA from 1 species